ensembl:lncRNA
CUUGUAAACAUAUGUAAGAAUUUCACUUUCUGAUUUCUAGAAACCAAAAGUGAGGUGCUUCUCAGUAAAUAUUUUGCCCUACAGAAAUUGAUGUUCAUGUAAAUGAUCCUCCUAAUCUAUGCUAAACAUGAAAAACUACACUACUCAGCCACAGCCUGCCUUUGUAAAGCUUGGAUGUGCUGGCACAAAGUUAUUCUGAAAACUGGAAAAAGUAUUUGAGGAAAUAUUUGGACACCAAAGUCAUAUGCAUUGAUGUGAAGAAAAAAAUCACCCUAGCUGGAAUGAUAGAUUCUGAGCACAGCAUCAAACAAAAGUGCCCAGGGGAGAGUUCAGCAGGUUCCCACAAACCUCAGCUGCAAGGAGACUUGGCCUGCUGAGACCUCAGCAUAGGACGUGUGACAGCAGCCUGAUGCUCACUGUGUGAUUCACAGAAUCAUUUGAGUUGGAAGGGACCAUUAAAGCCAUCUGGUCCAACUCCACUGCAAUGAACAAGGACACCUACAGCUCCAUCAGCCAAGAGAUAUCUGCCUAGACACACCAGGAUGGAAUCUGGGGAAUGUGAAGUGGAAGCUAAGCAGUGCCGGCAGCACCUGGGAGCAGCCAGCCUCCAUACCUGCUUUGGGAAGACACAGAAGAGAAGUCUCAAGCUCAAGGGGGACCGGUUAAUAUGAGUUUCUGAAAGGACCUACCACCAUCCAUGCAGUAGAGGGAUUAAAUUACUGAAGACCAGAAGACAAAGAGAGAAAAACAUUUGGGGUCUGUGGCUUACUGCCAUUAAGACAUAUGUAAGUACAUGAGGCAGUUGGGUACAACCCCUCUCUGCAAAUAUUCAGUCUCCAUAUGAGGUUUAAGCAUCUGACUUCAGUUGCUGCCAGUAAAAUAUAUUAGACUGAAAAUGUUUCAGCAUGAAAGGCAGCCACUGAAGCCAACAUCAGGGCUUCUUUUUCCCUCAAAUAUGAGGGCAAAGCCUAAUAGUGAAAGUCAGCAAAUGAGGAAAACCAAGUCAUUCUUUGUUAGAAUGAAACUUGUUGAGAGCCAGAGCACAACAGCAGCACGGAGAAGUUCUGUUGGAGCCUGCAGUGAUUUGCAUGAGAUCAUCACCCCUCUGCUAGCAUACGGCACUUUCAGAAGGGUUGCUGAUUCCUGCUGAAUUGGGGCUGGUUUUCUCUUUUUUCCUGUCCUGUUGACACACUGCUUACAAGAGUUCACCAAGGUCAGGUUUGCCUUCUUCUGUGCUGUUAAAAAAUGGAAAACCAGUGGAGAUGUCAAAGGGGUCAGACUAAAGAAGCUGGCGUGAUUUCUGCUACAGAGCUGCUGUAUAGUCUGGGAAGUCUCUGCCAGAUUCAUUUGGUUUCAGCCGGGGGUUUCAAACAGACAGGUGAUGUCAAGUUUCUGCAGAGUUUUGUCUGGCUGUGGUUAACUAUUACUUUAAUUAAAUAAAUUCAGAUUUGGUUCAACAAUUUUUUUUCCCAGAGAGGAUGGAGCAUCAGACAGAUCCUGAAUCUGCAGAUAUUAUUCCUACCUCAUAGUCAGAAAACGCCUACCUUUGUGAACACUGUUCUGUGGAAAGGAAGAAGUGUACUGUUAAGAAUAAGUCUCCCCUAGCUUACAACAGAGGUCCUUCUCAUGAAGAUGUCAAGACAACUUGGCUAACACUUGGGCUCCUCCUGCGGACCCAAAGAAACCAAACAGCACAUGGAAUAGUUAGAAGGUGGAAGAUUCCAUGUCAAAUACAUUCAGGAUUUUCUGUUAGCAGAAAAGCCGAAUAAACCUUGCAUGCAAUCACAUAGCAACAGCAAAGCAAGGGAGAAAGUCUAAAGCAAGCCCCACAGGCUCCUCUGCCUGCCCUCCCAGAGGAACGAGAGCUGAGCUGGCAUUUCUUGGUGAAGUUCCCACUGCCAAGCACUGUGCAUGCAGUGACGCUAAGGGACACAUUCUGUUCAACUGAAUACAAGAAAGAUAACCAUCUGUGCUCAUUUUACUCAUUUCAGUUCUGAAUCUGUGCCCAUUAACCAUAUAAUGGUUGGGGGAAAAAACAGCUGGUGAGAGAAUCUGGCAAAGUAUCAAAGGGAAUUCACUGAAAAGCUGUAAUUCCAAAUAAAAAUGGCUGAAAAAGUUCAAGGAGCCUCCUCUAUAUGAUCUUGUAGCCACUAAAUAAAGAAGGAUCUAGACAAAAUAGGAUCCUGUUAGUGAACUCUGAUAAAUCUCUGUAGUCACUGAAAGGCAGGGAUGAACUCCUUGAAAUGAUAAGAAGGAUGGAAAAGGAAUCUUUCAUGACAGUUUGUUUUUUCUUGAUGUUCAGUGGCAUGUUACUGCCUAAGCCAGCCCAGCUGGAAACAGAGGCACAUAGAAAACAAGUGCCACCUGACAGCUACAUGAGAGUGAGUCUUACCCCACCGAUUCUCAAAAUAAGCUUAACUGUAUUUUAUGACAGUAACUGAUCAAAUCCAAGACACCACGUCGUCAGUCCCAAAGAUUGAAAUGUUUUAUCCACAUCUAGGAAGUGACAACCGUGCAAACUCCCAUGCUGAACUGAGAAAACUUUCAUUUCAUGUGCUGAAAGGCACGAUUGCCAAACCAGGGAACCUGAAACUAGAAGUGCACAGGAGGAUGAUUCAGCAGGGCAGCCCAGGGAUGCUGGGGUCAAGCAGCCAGGAAAAAGAGACCAUAGGCCAUGGGUAUCUGAAGCUGCAUCUGAACAUGUUUACUUGCAGUGAAGCGUUACCCAUACUGGUUACAAAAGAGGAACCUUGAGGAAAGCUGUGAUACUGCCUAAUGACUCAAUACUCACUCACAAGAAAGGCACUUCUCUAAACGGUGUGUUAUCACCAGAUAGUCUUUCAGACUUUCUUCUUUAGUGGACGCAGUGACUUGUAGUCACAUGCUCAUGCCAUUGAUCAUUCAGUAUUUCACAAAUUCUCUGGGAAAGUGCUCAGACUUGGCCAGAUAAAUAGAGCUGUGACUGUCACUGAGGCUCCCUUCUCUGUCUGGCACAGACUGAAGAUAGGGGGAGAUGUUUCCACAGCCGGCACCAGAGCUGCUGCUAAGGAUGAAGGGUGCUCACCUGUGAGUUUGAACUCGAAGGCUACUGCUAACGACAAGAAUGGCCAGAGUACAUAGUCUGUGGAUUAAAACAAGUAAAGACAUUCACAAGGUUAGGGUGCAGAAGUGGAAGGGAGUGCUGGGAUUACCACUGAACUAUUGCUUUGAGAAAUACAAGGGGGAAAAGAAAGAGGACAGGACAGUUUUAGAGAGAAAGAGCACAAAGCAACUUUUGGACCCUUUCGGGUCCCUUCGUUCUGUCUGGCAUGAAUCAGAGUACCUUGCAGCAGCUCUGAGAUGUGCUCUGACCCCCACAGCCAACGAUGGGCCCAACCACAGAGCGUUUCAGUGUGACCCAUUGGCAGUGCUCCCCAAAGGAGCCUACAGAGCAAGUUGUUUGUGCCUCUCCUGCCCCCUUUCUACAGACUGAGAGAGCUGUCAGGACAUCAGAUUAACCACAAGUAGGGAUCAAGUCGUGCUCCAGGAGUGACUAAGAGGUUUGUUAAAUAAACUGCCUGCUCAGGCUGGUAAAGGUGACUGGGAGGGCUGAUGUGUUCCCUUUAAAAGGAACAUGAGUCUUACCGAACAGAUCAUCACGAAGCAUAGAAUCAUUAAGGUUGGAAAAGACCUCUAAGGUCAUCAGUCCGACCAAAUGUUCACCUGCCACCAAUACUGCCCUCAUUUCAGGCACAUCCAAGACCAUCACAGACCUCAAGCAAAUACUGCAAAAGCCACGAUGAAGCUGCUGAUGUGAAUGAGCUACUCUGCCAAAUCCUGCAGCCCCUUGUCUUGACUAUAACUCUUGCAGUCAACACAGGCACCCAGAAUUAGGAUUCAAAACUGCACUGAAAGUAAAGGGCACAAAUUAGUUGUGCAAACAGCCUUUCUCCUCACUGUUAAAAUGCGAGGCUGCAAGGGAGGGCAGUCAGUUCGAAUGCAUGACCAGGAGCUGCUGUAAAAUUCCUUGCAGAAACAAGAGACCUAUUAUGUUUAUCACCAAUUUGCUAAGUAAGGUUAAUACUCUGGCAUUGGCCCUGCCUCACAUGCCCUUAGUAGCACUACCAAGCUUUGUCCCACUAAGAUUUUACAGUAGAAGAGAUAACACACAUUCGAUAACCCAUUAUAAACACGCACUUUUAUUCUCCCCCCUUCACCCUCAUGCCUUUGCAGCAGGGAAGAUAAUGCUCUCACCAGUGGACCUAUUUCCAGCACCUGUAACCAGCUUAUGGCUAAGGAAACAGAGACCCAUCAGCCAUUGUGGUCAGAUGAAUAGUCUGUGUGGAUAUCAAUAUCAUAAUAAAUCAUUCCACUGCUGAAAGUCAUCUUACCCUCAGAAGGAUCUGAAUGGCAACUAUUUCCAAAUCCUUACAUACAUCCAUUUACAGUAGCUGAACUGUGGGAGGAGACUGAACUAUUUUUCAGUUCGCAUGAUAGUCAGCUGUUCCUCAUUUAGGAAUGAAUCCAUUUGCCUUUGUAUUAGGCCCAAAUAAUAGCUCCUGAAAUUGAGAUGUAAUCACCAACUAAAACUAGGAUUAAGCUAACGCCACCGAACUCCUUUGUUCCUCAAAACACAUUCAAACCCCCUGACCAGAUUCUGAUCUUGAUGUGAAUCUCAACUCACUGAGUUAAAUCCAAAAGCCACACCAUUUAAGUGGUGUAUCUCAGUGGAACCGAAGUUCAGAAUCAGUCCUUAAUACUGGUGCACAUGGUACUGUGCAGAACGAGCCCCACACUAUUUAUAGCUCACACUAUAUAUACACACUGCAGCUUCCAAAAGCAUAUUUCAUCUUUUGGGAGGACAAUGCUUUCUGAACUGUAAGAAAAGGCUGAGUUUUGUCAAAAAAUCUGCUCAAAUCCUUAACCUGGAAGAGCGGCCCCACGCUGCCAAUCAGAUAAUAAGCCGAAUUCUUACAUCACACUUUGUUUGUAGCUCACUGUGUAGUUAAUGGUUGCAGCUUAUCUAACAGGAGAAAUGUGAAACCAGAGUUUUAGAACAAUGGGAACAUGCCUGUCACCAGCAGGCUGCCAAUGAAUCAUGUCCCUGCAGUCAGGCUCUCCCAGAAGGUCAUUUACAACAGAAAUACAUCUCUGCCUGUAGCUGCUAAAAUGCUGAAAAGUGUCUUUCAGUUCUACAUGAGCAAACCAAUUACCAGAACAAUUUUACCUUGCAGUAUUUCUGAGUUCUGUUGAUUGCAAUAUGUGGCAAUAAAGGCUCUGUGUCUGAGAUUCUAAGAGUGUUUUUAACUUCACUUUGAAUAGAAGGAAGCUAAAAACCCAAUCUUGUAGAAACCUUAAGACAAAGGUGACUUAGUGCUAUCCCUCACAUUUAAAACAAAGGAAAAAGGAAAACAGGAGAAAAGAGGAAAACAGGGGAGAGAAGGGGCUGUUUUUAAGCAGAGUAACAUUCUUCCACAGCAUUCAGAAUGGAAACCCUGAAAUCACUGAAAGACACCAAACUCUUUAAAAAGGAAGCCCUAAGGAACAGAAAGCAGCUCCGAUGCUUGCCUAGGGAGAUAUGCAGAAAUAGGACGAUGAAUUACCCCCCCCUCAAAACAAAAUAUCAACUAUUAGCUGUGUCAAAUAUGGAAGUUAUUGUUUUGCUAAUAGAUAAUUACUUUAAAGUGACAUUUUCACUGCUCUGUCUGAAGCUUAAAGGGAAAAUUCUCUUCUGCUGCACUUGCAAAAGAACUGCUGAUUUUCUGCAAGAGGGAAGAGAACAGAUGAUGGGGGGGGGAAUCUAUUCCCUUAUGAAGAAUGUCAUUGGCACAAACAGCUGGCAGUCGGUGGCAUAUUAUUUAUAUGUGCAGUUGCUCGUGUUUUUUAACUGAUAAGAAAGCGAUAGCUCAUUUGCAAUGCAGGUGAGGAACGUGAGUGGCUCCACAGCGCCGCUGGCCCCUGGGCCACCUUCCUUAUCAUAUUGAAAACAUCUGUCAGGGCGCAAAUGAAUUCAUUAUAAAAGCAC